GCCACUUUAGCUCAGUUGGUAGAGCAUACGACUGAAAAUUGUAGGGUCUCCGGUUCGAGCCCGGAAGGUGGCACCA
rnacentral:tRNA from 3 species